GACAGAGGGGGCAAACGUUGUUCGGAUUUACUGGGCGUAAAGCGCGUGUAGGCGGCUUGGCAAGUCGGAUGUGAAAGCCCACGGCUCAACCGUGGAAGCGCACCCGAAACGGCCUCGCUCGAGUCUCGGAGAGGAAGGUGGAAUGCUUGGUGUAGAGGUGAAAUUCGUAGAUAUCAAGCAGAACACCUGCGGCGAAGGCGGCCUUCUGGACGAUGACUGACGCUGAGACGCGAAAGCGUGGGGAGCAAACAGG
rnacentral:rRNA from 1 species